rnacentral:rRNA from 1 species
UACGGAGGGGGCAAGCGUUAUUCGGAAUUACUGGGCGUAAAGGGCGCGUAGGCGGACAGUUUAGUCAGAGGUGAAAGCCCAGGGCUCAACUGGGGAACUGCACAGGAGACUGCUUGGCUUGAGUUCGGGAGAGGGAAGCGGAAUUCCGGGUGUAGCGGUGAAAUGCGUAGAUAUCCGGAGGAACACCGAUGGCGAAGGCAAUCCCCUGGGCCUGUACUGACGCUCAUGCACGAAAGCGUGGGGAGCAAACAGG